CCUACGGGGGACAGCAGUGAGGAAUAUUGGUCAAUGGUCGGGAGACUGAACCAGCCAAGCCGCGUGAGGGAUGAAGGUACAGCGUAUCGUAAACCUCUUUUGUCAGGGAACAAAGGCGGGGACGUGUCCCCGGCUGAGUGUACCUGAAGAAAAAGCAUCGGCUAACUCCGUGCCAGCAGCCGCGGUAAUACGGAGGAUGCGAGCGUUAUCCGGAUUUAUUGGGUUUAAAGGGUGCGCAGGCGGUCUGUUAAGUCAGCGGUCAAAGCCCGGGGCUCAACCCCGGCCCGCCGUUGAAACUGGCAGUCUCGAGUGGGAGAGAAGUAGGCGGAAUGCGCGGUGUAGCGGUGAAAUGCAUAGAUAUCGCGCAGAACUCCGAUUGCGAAGGCAGCAUGCCGGCUCCACACUGACGCUGAGGCACGAAAGCGUGGGUAUCGAACAGGAUUAGAUACCCUGGUAGUC
rnacentral:rRNA from 1 species